GCGGGCCAAAAGCCGCCGCGGGCCUUUCGGGACGUCUAUAUUAAUGCGUUUGGGCUGGACAGUGAGAAAGGCUCGCGGAGAGGAAGUGCUGUGUCUGCUGCUGUACCCCCCCCCACACACACACCCCCACACACCCCCACUGGUUUUGUUCUGCUCUGGACUGCAAUAAUGAGUGACCCAGAUGCGGAUAAUAAUAUGAGUGAAAGGACGCGGCGGUGCUCAGUGGGGAGGGAAGAACAUGGUUGUGUCAUUCAGAGCCACAACGUCGCGCCAUGAUCUGUUUAGGAAAUGAAGCCUCUGGCCACAUUUCAGCUUCUGGGACCACCAGAACAAAGUCUCCGACUUUUGGGAUAACUGGAACAUUUAAUGGAGAAUGUAUUAAAAGGAACGACCCAGAAUGGCUCGGAAGGACGUCUGGUUCCAUUGACUUACAUUAAAAAUAGAGGCUGUGAGUUCUUCUUCCUCCCAUAAGCCACAUGGUGAACCCCUCCUCAGGACUACAUGGGGUCUGUAGCAGCAACGCACCAUCGACCACCUGAAACAGUGAGAAAAGUUUGCUUUUGUUCCUGCUUUACUGGCAGAGAGAGAAAGAAGAGAGAGUGAGAGAGAGAAAGAGAGAGUGAGAGAGAGAGAGAAAGAAGAGAGAGUGAGAGU